rnacentral:misc_RNA from 1 species
UUAAGUUCAGCGCGUAUUCCUACCUGAUCCGAGGUCAACCUUGAAAAAUAUUUCCUCGCGAGAGGAGAAGACCGGGUCCUGGGCGCCCUUGUCCAGUACGUGCUCGGUGAGAAGCUCAUUGUACCGGGGGAACCACAGGCCGCCGUCAUUUACUUAAGGAGGGGUCGAGGGGACUCGACCGGCCGUCCAACACCAAGCAC